CCUACGGGUGGCAGCAGUGAGGAAUAUUGGUCAAUGGGCUUACGCCUGAACCAGCCAAGUCGCGUGAGGGAAGACUGCCCUAUGGGUUGUAAACCUCUUUUGUCAGGGAGCAACGCCGGCUACGUGUAGCCGGACUGAGAGUACCUGAAGAAAAAGCAUCGGCUAACUCCGUGCCAGCAGCCGCGGUAAUACGGGGGAUGCGAGCGUUAUCCGGAUUUAUUGGGUUUAAAGGGUGCGUAGGCGGAAUGCCAAGUCAGCGGGAAAAUCGCGGGGCUAAACCUCGCGCCGCCGUUGAAACUGGCGUUCUUGAGUGGGCGAGAAGGAUGCGGAAUGCGUGGUGUAGCGGUGAAAUGCAUAGAUAUUAGGAGGAACACCAGUGGCGAAGGCGGCUUACUGGACAGUAACGGACGUUGAGGCUCGAAAGCGUGGGGAGCAAACAGGAUUAGAUACCCCUGUAGUC
rnacentral:rRNA from 1 species